UACAGAGGUCCCGAGCGUUGUUCGGAUUCACUGGGCGUAAAGGGUGCGUAGGCGGUUGGGUAAGUCUGAUGUGAAAUCUCCGGGCUCAACCCGGAAAUGGCAUUGGAUACUAUUCGGCUAGAGGUUUGGAGGGGGGACUGGAAUUCUCGGUGUAGCAGUGAAAUGCGUAGAUAUCGAGAGGAACACCAGUGGCGAAGGCGAGUCCCUGGACAACACCUGACACUGAGGCACGAAAGCUAGGGGAGCAAACAGG
rnacentral:rRNA from 1 species